UCGAGAAUUUUUCUCAAUGGGGGAAACCCUGAAGGAGCGACGCCGCGUGGAGGAUGAAGGUCUUCGGAUUGUAAACUCCUGUCAUUAGAGAACAAGGUGCAAGGGAGUAACUGCCUUUGCAUUGAUAGUAUCUGAAGAGGAAGAGACGGCUAACUCUGUGCCAGCAGCCGCGGUAAUACAGAGGUCUCAAGCGUUGUUCGGAUUCAUUGGGCGUAAAGGGUGCGUAGGUGGCGCUGUAAGUCAGGUGUGAAAUCUCGGGGCUCAACCCCGAAACUGCACUUGAUACUGCAGUGCUCGAGGACUGGAGAGGAGAUCGGAAUUCAUGGUGUAGCAGUGAAAUGCGUAGAUAUCAUGAGGAAGACCAGUGGCGAAGGCGGAUCUCUGGACAGUUCCUGACACUGAGGCACGAAGGCCAGGGGAGCAAACGG
rnacentral:rRNA from 1 species